AAGUCGAACGCACCGCAAGGUGAGUGGCAGACGGGUGAGUAACGCGUGGGAACCUUCCCUGUGGUACGGAAUAACUUCGGGAAACCGAAGCUAAUACCGUAUAUCUCCUCCGGGAGAAAGAUUUAUCGCCAUAGGAUGGGCCCGCGUUGGAUUAGCUAGUUGGUGAGGUAAUGGCUCACCAAGGCGACGAUCCAUAGCUGGUCUGAGAGGAUGAUCAGCCACACUGGGACUGAGACACGGCCCAGACUCCUACGGGAGGCAGCAGUGGGGAAUAUUGGACAAUGGGGGAAACCCUGAUCCAGCCAUGCCGCGUGAGUGAAGAAGGCCUUAGGGUUGUAAAGCUCUUUUGCCUGGGAAGAUAAUGACUGUACCAGGAGAAUAAGCCCCGGCUAACUUCGUGCCAGCAGCCGCGGUAAUACGAAGGGGGCUAGCGUUGUUCGGAAUUACUGGGCGUAAAGCGCACGCAGGCGGAUUGAUAAGUCAGGGGUGAAAUCCCGGGGCUCAACCUCGGAAUUGCCUUUGAUACUGUCUGUCUCGAGUUCGGGAGAGGUUGGCGGAAUUCCUAGUGUAGAGGUGAAAUUCGUAGAUAUUAGGAAGAACACCAGUGGCGAAGGCGGCCAACUGGCCCGAAACUGACGCUCAUGUGCGAAAGCGUGGGGAGCAAACA
rnacentral:rRNA from 1 species